rnacentral:rRNA from 1 species
AUUGAACGCUGGCGGAAUGCUUUACACAUGCAAGUCGAACGGCAGCACGGGGCAACCUGGUGGCGAGUGGCGAACGGGUGAGUAAUACAUCGGAACGUGCCCAAUCGUGGGGGAUAACGUAGCGAAAGUUACGCUAAUACCGCAUACGAUCUACGGAUGAAAGCGGGGGAUCGCAAGACCUCGCGCGAAUGGAGCGGCCGAUGUCAGAUUAGGUGGUUGGUGGGGUAAAGGCUCACCAAGCCGACGAUCUGUAGCUGGUCUGAGAGGACGACCAGCCACACUGGGACUGAGACACGGCCCAGACUCCUACGGGAGGCAGCAGUGGGGAAUUUUGGACAAUGGGCGCAAGCCUGAUCCAGCCAUUCCGCGUGCAGGAUGAAGGCCUUCGGGUUGUAAACUGCUUUUGUACGGAACGAAACGGUUCUCUCUAAUACAGGGGGCUAAUGACGGUACCGUAAGAAUAAGCACCGGCUAACUACGUGCCAGCAGCCGCAGUAAUAC